rnacentral:rRNA from 1 species
CCUACGGGGGGCUGCAGUGGGGAAUAUUGGACAAUGGGGGGAACCCUGAUCCAGCCAUGCCGCGUGUGUGAAGAAGGCCCUCGGGUUGUAAAGCACUUUCAGUGAGGAAGAACGCCUGGUGGUUAAUACCCAUCAGGAAAGACAUCACUCACAGAAGAAGCACCGGCUAACUCCGUGCCAGCAGCCGCGGUAAUACGGAGGGUGCGAGCGGUAAUCGGAAUUACUGGGCGUAAAGCGCGCGUAGGUGGCUUGAUAAGCCGGUUGUGAAAGCCCCGGGCUCAACCUGGGAACGGCAUCCGGAACUGUCAAGCUAGAGUGCAGGAGAGGAAGGUAGAAUUCCCGGUGUAGCGGUGAAAUGCGUAGAGAUCGGGAGGAAUACCAGUGGCGAAGGCGGCCUUCUGGACUGACACUGACACUGAGGUGCGAAAGCGUGGGUAGCAAACAGGAUUAGAUACCCCAGUAGUC